GAUGAAGAACGUAGCGAAAUGCGAUAAGUAAUGUGAAUUGCAGAAUUCAGUGAAUCAUCGAAUCUUUGAACGCACCUUGCGCCCUUUGGCCAUUCCGAAGGGCAUGCCUGUUUGAGUGUCAUGAAAAUAUCAACCUUGACUUGGGUUUUGUGCUCUAGUCUCGGCUUGGAAUUGGGUGCUUGCCGCUUUUACGAGCGGCUCACCUUAAAUGUAUUAGCUGGAUCUGUCUUUGAGACUUGGUUUGACUUGGCGUAAUAAGUAUUUCGCUAAGGACAUUCUUCGGAGUGGCCUCGUUUCUAGGACGCUUGUCCGCUUUCCAAUACAAGUUCCACCUCGUGGACAUGACUUUUUAUUAUCUGGCCUCAAAUCAGGUAGGACUACCCGCUGAACUUAAGCAUAUCAAUAAGCGGAGGA
rnacentral:misc_RNA from 1 species